rnacentral:rRNA from 1 species
ACUCAAAUGAAUUGACGGGGACCCGCACAAGCAGUGGAGCGCCUGGUUUAAUUCGAUGGUCAACGAAGAACCUUACCUGAGCUUGAACUGUAGCUGCAACGCCAACGUAAGUUGGAGUCCUUCGAGGGUGCUAUAGAGGUGCUGCAUGGCUGUCGUCAGCUCGUGUCGUGAGAUGUAGGGUUAAGUCCCACAACGAGCGCAACCCCUAUUCGAUGUUAAAAUUACUUCGAAUACUGCCCCGCCAAAACGGGGAGGAAGGAGGGGACGACGUCCAGUCAUCAUAUCCCUUAUGUUCAGGGCUACACAGACGCUACAAUGGCUACUACAAUGGGUUGCCAAACCGCGAGGUGGAGCUAAUCCCAUCAAAAGUAGUCUCAGUUCAGAUUGCAGGCUGCAACUCGCCUGUAUGAAGUCGGAAUUGCUAGUAAUCGUGCAUCAGCAUGGCACGGUGAAUACGUUCUCGGGUCUUGUACACACCGCCCGU